AGCAUUUAGAAGAUUUGCCACGUUUCUGACUCCCCGUGACAGGAGGUGUGCACGAGAUUGGCAUAACCCUGAAAUAUGCUUGCAGAAGUAGAAGCCGCGGCAGGAGCGGAAGUGGAGGCAUUGCGACGUCAUAAACAUCCCAAACGCCACUCAGCCCCCAGCGCACUUUCACCCUCCUCGGGUGAUGCGGGCAGAAAAGACAGUAUCCAUCCUGAAUCCCAUCAUGCUCCUAGAAAAUGCAUGUUCCCUUAAGAUCAGGAGGGACAGAAAGCCUCCUGCAGCUCAGAGUACCUCCACCGCAUUGCAAAUUGUAGGGCGUGUCUGAUGAGAAAGUUGCUUGGAGCGACCCCGAAGUCAAGAGCAAAGUCAGGUCAUAGACUACUAAACCUUCAUCUCCUCAGAAACAGAAGACCAAGAGGGAUCUUUGUGCAGGGAUUAUGGAGAAAAGGAGAAAAGCCCUGAGUCAACAUUUCUUUUUAAAACUAUGAGAUACUAGAGACUGAACCUGGGGCUUUGCAUAUGUUAGAACAGGUACCACGAAAGCUGGAGAGACACAGUCUGGAUUGCAGACGUGCAACCAGGAACAGACAGAGCAUGGGUGAAAAGGCAGCAGGAACAGAGCAGGCUAUGGAGACAGAACCUCAAGUGUCACAGGAGGACCGGAAGCUGAGGUUGUCCCUGAGCAUCCAGGAGGCAGCUUGUUGGAGAAGGCAGCACACCCACCAUUGCCUAAUCAAGCUGCAGAGGAUUCCUGAAGUGUGAUGAGGAACUUGGUGGAGUCUCUUGGUGAAUGAAGCCAGGAACAGACCUCCCAGCAAACAAGGUAAACAGGCCUUGGUUCCAUAUCUCUUCAGGCCAUCAGUCAGAGAAAGCCCACGUGUGGAAAACCCAUUUUCAAGCAUUACAGACAAGGUUGUAAUUGGCAGCCAGGGGUCCUCAGAGUAGGGAAUUCUGGUAGAAAGUAGACUCCUGUCAGGAAAGGCACACUGAUUUCCUCCUUUGAAUUCGUGAAACUGGCACCUCCCCCGUCACUUGUAAACAUUGACAUAAAACUGUGGGAGAAUUAAAAACCAUACUUUUCCAACUCUUAAGAAAUAUUGACUGAGGUCAUCAGCACCUUCCAUUUCCUGGCAUAUUUCUCCUUCAUGCUCUCCUCCCUCUUUUCUUCAUCCCCAUUUUAUGACUUAUGAAUCCGUGCGGUUAGCUUUAAGAACUACGAUCCACGUCUCCCGUCAGUACGAAGCUCUGACUGACACAAGGGAAGAACACGUCUCCUCUUCUAGAUGUUAGCACUGGGGCUGGUGGAUGACACACAACAGAACCAGGAGGUAAACAGUGAGUUACGUACAGCUUUCACAGUCUGACUGAUUCUUUAUAAACUAGUGAGACUAAUUUCCCUGAUGGAUGUAGAUCGUAAUAAUUUCUCUUAACUCUUGUUUUAGUUAACCAAGGGCUUGAUAUAACACUCAGCGGUUUUUAAAGGAAUAUAUAUGUGGUAGUUUGAAUGUAAAUGGCCCCCAUAAGCUCACAGGGAAUGGCACUGAGGAGGUGUGGCUUUAUUGGAGUAGGUUUGGCCGUGUUGGAGGAAGUGUGUCACUGUGGGGGUGGACUUUGAGGUUUCCUAUGCUCAGGAUACCUCCCAGUGACACAGUCUACUUCCUGUUGCCUGAAAGAUGAAGAUGUAGCCAGCACCAUGUCUGCCUGGUGCCACCAUGCUCCCCACCAUAAUGAUAAUGGACUGAACCUCUGAAACUAAAAGCUGCCACCACAAUUAAAUGUUUUCCUUAUAAGAGUUGUCCUAGUCAUGGUGUCUCUUUACAGCAAUGGAAAGCCUAACGAAGACAAUAUAACAUACAUGUGUGCAUAUAAAAUAUGCACAGUUAGUUGGUCAGAGCAGAUUAUAUAUGGUAUAUUAUACACAGCAGAUAUAAUCACAGAUGAAGAGGCCAUGAAUUCUAGAGGA